rnacentral:rRNA from 1 species
AUGGACGCAAGUCUGAUGGAGCAACGCCGCGUGAGUGAAGAAGGGUUUCGGCUCGUAAAGCUCUGUUGGUAGUGAAGAAAGAUAGAGGUAGUAACUGGCCUUUAUUUGACGGUAAUUACUUAGAAAGUCACGGCUAACUACGUGCCAGCAGCCGCGGUAAUACGUAGGUGGCAAGCGUUGUCCGGAUUUAUUGGGCGUAAAGCGAGUGCAGGCGGUUCAAUAAGUCUGAUGUGAAAGCCUUCGGCUCAACCGGAGAAUUGCAUCAGAAACUGUUGAACUUGAGUGCAGAAGAGGAGAGUGGAACUCCAUGUGUAGCGGUGGAAUGCGUAGAUAUAUGGAAGAACACCAGUGGCGAAGGCGGCUCUCUGGUCUGCAACUGACGCUGAGGCUCGAAAGCAUGGGUAGCGAACAGGAUUAGAUACCCUGGUAGUCCAUGCCGUAAACGAUGAGUGCUAAGUGUUGGGAGGUUUCCGCCUCUCAGUGCUGCAGCUAACGCAUUAAGCACUCCGCCUGGGGAGUACGACCGCAAGGUUGAAACUCAAAGGAAUUGACGGGGGCCCGCACAAGCGGUGGAGCAUGUGGUUUAAUUCGAAGCAACGCGAAGAACCUUACCAGGUCUUGACAUCCAGUGCAACCCUAAGAGAUUAGGUGUUCCCUUCGGGGACGCUGA